rnacentral:lncRNA from 1 species
CACUGAAAUUUUAUAAGACUAGAUACUCAAUUUAGCGACUUGAUGGUCGAUUGAAGUUUUGGGUUUAGUUUAACGACUUUUCGGUCAUUUGAAUUUGGGUUUAGUUUAACGACUUUGCGGUCGUUUGAAUUUGGGUUUAGUUUAGCGACGUUUCGAUCGUUUGAAUUUGGGUUUAGUUUAGCGACGUUUCGGUCGUUUGAAUUUGGGUUUAGUUUAGCGACAUUUCAGUCGUUGGUUUUAGUUUAACGACGUUUCGGUCGUUGGGUUUAGUUUAACGACAUUUCGGUCGUUAAGUUUAGUUUAUCGACGUUUCGGUCAUUGGGUUUAGUUUAACGACGUUUCGGUCGUUGGGUUUAGUUUAACGACGUUUCGGUCGUUGGGUUUAGUUUAACGACGUUUCGGUCGUUUGGUUUAGUUUAACGACGUUUCGGUCGUUGGAUUUAGUUUAACGACGUUUCGGUCGUUUGGUUUAGUUUAACGACGUUUCGGUCGUUUGAGUUUGGGUUUAGUUUAGUGACGUUUCGGUCGUUUGGUUUAGUUUAACGACAUUUCGGUCAUUUGAAUUUGGGGUUUAGUUUAACGACGUUUCGGUCGUUUGGAUUUGUGUUUAGUUUAGCGACGUUUCGGUCGUUGGGUUUAGUUUAACGACGUUUCGGUCGUUGGGUUUAGUUUAAUGACGUUUCGGUCGUUUGGUUUAGUUUAACGAUGUUUCGGUCGUUUGGUUUAGUUUAACGACGUUUCGGUCGUUGGGUUUAGUUUAAUGAUGUUUCGGUCGUUAGGUUUAGUUUAACAACGUUUCGGUCGUUUGAGUUUGGGUUUAGUUUAGUGACGUUUCGGUCGUUGGGUUUAGUUUAACGACGUUUUGGUCAUUUGAAUUUGGAUUUAGUUUAACGACGUUUCGGUCGUUUGGAUUUGGGUUUAAUUUAGCGACAUUUCGGUCGUUUAGAUUUGAGAGGCUUUGGAUUUCGGGGUUUUAUUUGUGGACUUUAGGUUUUUGGGAUUUUAUUUGUGGACUUUGGGUUUCGAGAUUUUAUUUGUAGAUUUUGGGUUUUGGAAUUUAUUUGUGGACUUUGGUUUUGGGAUUUAUUUGUGGACUUUGGUUUUGGGUUGGCUUAAAC